rnacentral:lncRNA from 1 species
UUUGCUAAUCAUCAGGGCUUCCACAAACCAUGAGUGACACCUAGCAGCAUGUCAUGGUUACCCAAGUUAAGUAGAAUUGGUUGGAGAACCUAUCCAGUUACAACUACAAUGCAAUACGGUCAUUCUCUAAUACAAUACUCUUAAUCACAUUGUUUAAGUGAUAGUUUGUUUCAUGUCUACUAUCCAAUGUGAUACAUCUCCAUAUGAUUCUUUUGAAUAAGAUUUGGAACAAACUUCCUAAGUCAUAUUCAUAUGCUUUGGCCAAAGACUCUCGAAUCACAUCUUAGAGUAUUCUCCUUCCUGUUGGAAAUAUGCCCUGAAAGUCAAUCUUUGGAAGAAACCUUUCAGGACAAAUGAAUGGAUGUAUAGAUGAUUCUUAUACAUCAAAUGGCAAAGAUACUAAUUAGGACUAUCUCAAUAAACGAUAUAUGUCCUAAAUAGUGAAUCCAUGGACAAUGGAUCGAUUGAAGAAGUAAUCUAAUGAUGUUAGACUACAGAGACCUUCUUCACAUAACCAUAAUGUCCAAAAAGGUUCCUGGUCAUUGGAUUGUCGAAGGGAUGAUAGACGCAUAUUUAUGCGACUUAGUUAACUAGUUUUCUUGCAUUUACGUUAUUAGUUCUUAGUUAUUUUAGUACUUUAAGCCAUUUUCGUGUGUUUGUAGGUCCAAAGGGUUAAGGUAGAAAGAAAGUGCAUUUUGGUGCAUUUUGGAGCAGUUUUGAGCUUGGAAUGGAUUACUUAUGAUAUGAGCAAGAUGGAUGGACGAAUUUGAAGAAAAAAGAGGCUAGGAACAUGCUAAAAAUCUGGUGAAACAAAUACAAGUUGCAAGAAGGGAUAAAUUUCUAGAAG